rnacentral:rRNA from 1 species
AGCCUGAUCCAGCAUGCCGCGUGAGUGAAGAAGGCCUAUCGGGUUGUAAAGCUCUUUUGUCAGGGAAGAAACGGGGUUGGCUAAUAUCUGAUCCUAAUGACGGUACCUGAAGAAUAAGCACCGGCUAACUACGUGCCAGCAGCCGCGGUAAUACGUAGGGUGCAAGCGUUAAUCGGAAUUACUGGGCGUAAAGCGUGCGCAGGCGGUUUUGUAAGACUGUCGUGAAAUCCCCGGGCUCAACCUGGGAAUGGCGAUGGUGACUGCAAGGCUAGAGUUUGGCAGAGGGGGGUAGAAUUCCACGUGUAGCAGUGAAAUGCGUAGAUAUGUGGAGGAACACCGAUGGCGAAGGCAGCCCCCUGGGUCAAAACUGACGCUCAUGCACGAAAGCGUGGGGAGCAAACAGGAUUAGAUACCCUGGUAGUCCACGCCCUAAACGAUGUCUACUAGUUGUCGGGUCUUAAUUGACUUGGUAACGCAGCUAACGCGUGAAGUAGACCGCCUGGGGAGUACGGUCGCAAGAUUAAAACUCAAAGGAAUUGACGGGGACCCGCACAAGCGGUGGAUGAUGUGGAUUAAUUCGAUGCAACGCGAAAAACCUUACCUACCCUUGACAUGGCAGAAAUCCUCGAGAGAU